UACGUAGGUGGCAAGCGUUGUCCGGAUUUACUGGGCGUAAAGGGCGUGCAGGCGGUUUGUUAAGUGCAGGGUGAAAUCUCCCGGCUCAACUGGGAGGGUGCGCCGAAUACUGAAUGACUUGGAGUGCGGGAGAGGAAAGUGGAAUUCCUGGUGUAGCGGUGAAAUGCGUAGAUAUCAGGAGGAACACCGGUGGUGUAGACGGCUUUCUGGACCGUAACUGACGCUGAGACACGAAAGCGUGGGUAGCAAACAGG
rnacentral:rRNA from 1 species